AGGGGCCUCAGGGCCCUGCGGGAAGCACAGAUGGGAGCUUGCCUGACUGUCUCCCCAUCGGCCUGGACCCCGGAGCCUGCCCAGCUGAGCGUGUGCAGAGGGCCCCGGGUGAGGGGCGCCGCUUGGGCCGCCGUGGAGACCAUCCUGGAGAUGCUGGUGGAGGCAGGCCUGUCCUGCUGAGCCGGGCCUGUUGGCACAGCCUGCUCAGAGCUCUCCAGUGUGACAGCCCAGGCGGCAGAGCCGAGGGUCCUGGUCCCGGCUUCUCGCACCCUCAUGUCAGCCCCGGCCCCGCCCGGCGGCCCGCGGAGGACAAGGUCAGGAUGCGUGUGAAGCCUCAGGGCCUGGUGGUGACUUCCAGUGCCGUGUGCAGCUCUCCUGACUACCUCUGGGAGCCCAAGUCAACCCCCGGGCGGCCCCCCCCACCUCGCGGGCCUUUCUGCUUGUUGCAAAUGCCGAUUCUCCUUCUGAUCCCGGCCUGUUAAUGGGAUUGCAGGUUGUUAUCCUGUUCAUGAUGACU
rnacentral:lncRNA from 1 species